rnacentral:rRNA from 1 species
UACGUAGGGGGCAAGCGUUGUCCGGAUUUACUGGGCGUAAAGCGCCUGUAGGCGGCCUGUCAAGUCCGGCCUGGAAGCCCCCCGCUCAACGGGGGAGGGUGGCUGGAAACUGGCAGGCUUGAGGGCGAGAGGGGAGGGUGGAAUUCCUGGUGUAGCGGUGAAAUGCGUAGAGAUCAGGAGGAACACCCGUGGCGAAGGCGGCCCUCUGGCUCGACCCUGACGCUGAGGCGCGAAGGCGUGGGGAGCGAACGGG